rnacentral:tRNA from 4 species
UGAAGAGUUACUUUUGCUUUUAAAAGAAAUAUUACGCGUAUGUUUUCUUUUUUCUUCAU